rnacentral:rRNA from 1 species
CCUACGGGAGGCAGCAGUGAGGAAUAUUGGUCAAUGGACGCAAGUCUGAACCAGCCAUGCCGCGUGAAGGAUGACUGCCCUAUGGGUUGUAAACUUCUUUUAUAUGGGAAUAAAAUGUUCCACGUGUGGGAUUUUGUAUGUACCAUAUGAAUAAGGAUCGGCUAACUCCGUGCCAGCAGCCGCGGUAAUACGGAGGAUCCGAGCGUUAUCCGGAUUUAUUGGGUUUAAAGGGAGCGUAGGUGGAUUGUUAAGUCAGUUGUGAAAGUUUGCGGCUCAACCGUAAAAUUGCAGUUGAAACUGGCAGUCUUGAGUACAGUAGAGGUAGGCGGAAUUCGUGGUGUAGCGGUGAAAUGCUUAGAUAUCACGAAGAACCCCGAUUGCGAAGGCAGCUUACUAAACUGUGACUGACAUUGAUGCUCGAAAGUGUGGGUAUCAAACAGGAUUAGAUACCCUAGUAGUC